rfam:Lactobacillus sp. ASF360 genomic scaffold acMPL-supercont1.4, whole genome shotgun sequence.
ACAUGAAAGCAACUUAAAACUUAUAUAUCGUCGAAAUAAGGUCGACAGUUUCUACCCUGAACCAUAAAUUCAGGACUAUAAGUGGUUUGAGAAUGCUU